rnacentral:rRNA from 1 species
GGGUCAGUAGGUUGGUCGUGCCACCGGUACGUACUGGUCUCACUGAUUCCUCCUUCCUGAAGAACCGUAAUCCCAUUAAUUUGGUGUUGCGGGGAAACAGGACUGUUACUUUGAAAAAAUUAGAGUGUUUAAAGCAAGCUAACGCUUGAAUACAUUAGCAUGGAAUAAUGAAAUAGGACGAUCGAUCCUAUUUUGUUGGUUUCUAGGAUUGACGUA